rnacentral:lncRNA from 1 species
UCUGCUACUAAACUAUCUAUGUUAAACAAAGGAUGUCAUCCCCAUAGUUGUAGGCAUCCCUAAACAAUAGAUAAUGUAUUUGGACUGGAAAAAUUUGUGACAUAUAUGGGGAUAGGGAGUUGGGGUUGGAAGGAUCGGUUUAGCUAUUAGUGACUUUUUAUGCUCUUUUUGAACAUGACAAGAAAAGUUGAAUGGCAUGUGCACAUAUUGGUGCCAUGCUUUUGAAGCGUUGAUGCAGACUAACAAGCAUUUGUGUCGUAAAGCAAUAAAAAGGUAUUGUAUAUACAUGUUUCUAGCCUUUUUCCUAUUUUCAUUCCCAUUUGUUUAUCCGGGCACUUGCUAAUCUUACAAGCUAUCUAUUGUAUAUUGUCAUGAUGCCUUUGUUGCAUUGAGAUAUACACUGAGGUGAUACCAUGUUGAUUUGCAUGUAGGGUUCUGAAAGGAAUGAAAUUACGAGGCAAUGUUGAUUUGCAUGUUAUGCAUCUUGACCAACUUAUUUGAUGAUGUUUAACUCCUGAUUCUCUCAUUCUUCUGUACCAGUUGCUAAAUGAGGCUGGUUUCUCCUGUCAAUUAUAGGUGUAAAAUAAAGUCACAAUAUGACCAAGCAAUGAAAAAAAUGCUACCUUCAUAUGAUUGUCAAUCUUUUUAACUAACCGUCUCAUGCAAUGGAGUAAAUGUAUUCACAGCAUGAUGUGCACAUACUCACAUCUAUAGUAGC